AUUGAACGCUGGCGGCAUGCUUUACACAUGCAAGUCGAACGGCAGCGCGGGCUUCGGCCUGGCGGCGAGUGGCGAACGGGUGAGUAAUACAUCGGAACGUGCCCAGUAGUGGGGGAUAGCUCGGCGAAAGCCGGAUUAAUACCGCAUACGACCUGAGGGUGAAAGCGGGGGAUCUUCGGACCUCGCGCUAUUGGAGCGGCCGAUGGCAGAUUAGCUAGUUGGUGGGGUAAAGGCCUACCAAGGCGACGAUCUGUAGCUGGUCUGAGAGGACGACCAGCCAAACUGGGACUGAGACACGGCCCAGACUCCUACGGGAGGCAGCAGUGGGGAAUUUUGGACAAUGGGCGAAAGCCUGAUCCAGCAAUGCCGCGUGUGUGAUGAAGGCCUUCGGGUUGUAAAGCACUUUUGGCGGGAACGAAAAGGACUGUGCCAAUACCACGGUUCGAUGACGGUACCCGCAGAAUAAGCACCGGCUAACUACG
rnacentral:rRNA from 1 species